rnacentral:rRNA from 1 species
UACGUAGGGGGCAAGCGUUGUCCGGAAUCAUUGGGCGUAAAGCGCGUGUAGGCGGCCCGAUAAGUCCGCUGUGAAAGUCCAGGGCUCAACCCUGGAAUGCCGGUGGAUACUGUCGGGCUCGAGUCCGGAAGAGGCGAGUGGAAUUCCUGGUGUAGCGGUGAAAUUCGUAGAUAUCGAGAGGAACACCGGUGGCGAAGGCGGCCUUCUGGACAGUGACUGACGCUGAGACGCGAAAGCGUGGGGAGCAAACAGG